rnacentral:rRNA from 1 species
GACGAACGCUGGCGGCGUGCCUAACACAUGCAAGUCGAGCGAAGCGGCGGAUGGGUGAGUAUGGCGUGGGUACUCUGACCUUCAGUCUGGGAUACCAGUUGGAAACAGAUGCUAAUACCGGAUACUAAAGGAUGGACGUGCGGUGCAUUAGCUAGUGGGUAAGGUAACGGCUUACCAAGGCGAUGAUGCAUAGCCGAGUGGAGAGACUGAGCGGCCACAUUGGGACUGAGACACGGCCCAAACUCCUACGGGAGGCAGCAGUAGGGAAUCUUCCACAAUGUACGAAAGUCUGAUGGAGCAACGCCGCGUGAGUGAAGAAGGUUUUCGGAUCGUAAAGCGCUGUUGUUGGUGAAGCGGUAAUCACCCAGUAAGUCACGGCUAACUACGUGCCAGCAGCCGCGGUAAUAC